CAAAUAUUUAAAACUUUCAACAACGGAUCUCUUGGUUCUCGCAUCGAUGAAGAACGCAGCGAAUUGCGAUAAGUAUUGUGAAUUGCAGAAUUUCGUGAAUCAUCGAAUCUUUGAACGCACAUUGCACCCUGUGGUAUUCCACAGGGUAUGCCUGUUUGAGCGUCAUUU
rnacentral:rRNA from 2 species